AAAAAAAAAAAAAAAAAAAAACGACAAAUACUAGUAACAGUCUGCUGCCCUUCUUUUAACAUGAACUUUCAUUACUGUAAAUUGGCGUUCCUUUCAAGACACCAUCCAACUUGAUCCUGGCAUCUUGAAAAUCUAACCACCACUUUAGAGACAAAUAUUUACCUUUCUUUUCAAGCUCAUUGGAUAAUCCACCAACCACCAUCUUGUUGACUUGUUAUCCAGGCCUAAGCAUGUAACUUGCCCAUAAACAAGUUAUACAGGAAAUCCUUUGGGUCGACAAGGCUGAAUAAUUAAACUAUUAAUAGGGAAUGAGGUAACAACAAAAAAUUACAAUAUUUGCACUUCAGAGACCCACCCUACUUCUUUCUGAGAGAGGCAGUGUUUAUUCUUCAGAUUUUGGUAACAUGAGAUCUGAAACCAAGACAUAAUUGUACCACUCCAGCCAGGAGCUUGUCUGAGAGACAAUAACAAUGCGUGGCUUUUGAGAGAUGCAUGGAAGAAAUUUAAAUACCAGAUAAGAACUAGAGCUAAGAAUUAGAUUCACAAAAAUCAUUGGAAUCCUACGCAUGCCGUGAGCCCCAAGUUGCAGGUUAUGAAACUACGUCUCAAAAAUCUCCAGAUCAAACCAAAAGUAUAUUUUGGGAAGAAAGACAUAUUUAGUACAAGUGGCAAAAAAUGUAAGAAUAUGGUCUUACAGUGCCUCUAGACAAUUGAGUUCCCUAGAAUAGUAAUUUAGCAAGCAUUAAGAAAACAGAAGUAAGAGCCAACCCUUAAAAUUUGACAUGCAUACCUUAUACGAGGUCAUACUUGACAAUACAAUGUAAAAAUGGAAUAAAAGACUAUGAGAAAGAACUAAUCAACUAAAAAUAAUUUUUCUAAAAAGACAAAAGGUGUGAACUGGAAACAGGUUUAGCAGCCAACAAUCCAAGGGUUCAGGUUAUGGUAAAUAAUCACACUGGGAACAGGUAAUGUCCAAUUUGUAUCUUACGUCAGACCUAGCUAGCUUGGAAGUUAUAAAAAUUGACACUUGAAAGCAUACCAAAAUCAUGAAAAUCAUUGAACAAAGGUUGUAGAAGGAUCCAGAAAAUUAGAGGAAAGGAAAGAGCAGAAACCAGAUUUACCUUUCAAGAAUUUGGUAUGGAUCCACAACAAGUUCAAGUUUCCCAUCAAUCCAUAAGGAAAAGCGAGCAUUUGGAAACAUCCUAUGCACUAGAAGCUUUGGUACCUGUCAUUGGCAUAACUUGGGUCAAAAGGCAUAUUUAAUUGCUAUCUUGUGUCCCUAAAUUUAAAAAGAUUCUGAGGGAACUCAUAUGAAAUCAGUUUAUUAAAGAAACUGAAUACUAUUUACUUUCAAAUGUCAUCUUAAUGUUUCUCGAGGUUGCCACACGCGUGUGCGCACACACACACACAUAAUAGAAAGAAUCAACUAUAGGAAUCUUCCCAUCCAUGUUAUAGAGCAUUGGUCAAGAAAAUGGAAUCUAACCAUUAAAGCUACCGUAUCACAUUCCAAAAAACUAGAUAAACAAUAAGCUAUAGCCUGCAGCCUGGAUCAAAUUUUAAAAAAGAAAGCUCACUAAAAUCUAGAACAUUUACUUUCCCAUUGCGUCUCCCAUCUUUGUAAGGAAGAUUACGAACAACAACAAUUCUCCAAAUCCCAAUCUUCCGGCUGCUGUCUAGACCACUAUUCUUCU
rnacentral:misc_RNA from 1 species